CCAGAGGCCCUUACUGGGGAAAUGGACAAGCAAAAUACGUCACGUGUAUCUGGCGAACUACUUUGCAGCAAACAGAAGAACACCUGGAUUCCAUAAAACGUUGACAGAAGCUCCCAGGAAGAAGCCAGAGCUGCUCCAAUCAGGAAACCUAAGCAUGGGUCCCGGUUCUGUAAACUACUAGUUGUGUGACUUUGACCAAGAUGCUCAACUCCUUCAAACGUUUCUUCUUCUCUCAAAAUGGGGACCACCCUGGCUAACUGGAAGGGCCAUUUGGAAAAAUAAACAAGAUUUUACAUGAA